CCAUGUCCACUUAGGUCUUUAGCUAUAAAGCAUGUCAACUGUUUUGUUUUUCAAAUGAGCUCUGCAAAUUAUCGCUUUACAACUGAUUGAGUACAUUAUUAAGAAAACAUGGGAAACAGUCCUACCACUCCGACACCCGCACCAGGAAUAAAUCCAAUUCUGUUCGUCCCUCCUGUUGGUACGACAAUUGGUUAUCCGCAAAUUAGCCCGCUAGCCAAUAGUGGCGUGGCAACGACUUCCAUCAACACUGCAAUGUUGCAAGGUCCGACUGCCCCUAAUCCUACUCCAGGUUCGAUAGGCCCCACGUUUUUUCCUUGAAGAUAUGGCCACUAAAGUUAUUCUUCAUUUCCAACAUGUUUACUUCAUGUCAAACAAAAUGGUGAUUUGAAUGUGGAAUAAUGAAAUGGUAUUGGCCUACUACCAUGCCAUUUUUAGAAGAUCUGUUACUACCGUGCUGAUUAUUUAGUCCCUGAAUGCAUUUCAAUUAAAGUUUUAUAUUAAAAAA